GGCACUUCACCUCACCCCUUUUAUCUUCUCAUUGCCUCUUCAUCUUCAAUCUUCUUUUCUUCCUCACAUUGAUUCUUCCUCCUCUCCCUCUUUCAUUCUUGAAUCUUUCAUUUGGAUCAGAUGUUCGUACAAAGUUCUGAGUGAGAUUUUGUUGUGUGUCGGUGGUGCUACUGCAUCAAAGGGGCACGGCCGGCCGUUCUUCCGGUUCAAGAACACAUUGGCGCACAUGGACGCACGUGCGUCAGCUCAGUCCCAGCGAGACCUCCACCAUCUGCAUCUCCAUGGAUGUGCGGCAACGCCUGGCCAUCCUGUCGGGCUACUUCCGCAGCCUGGUCCUUUGGGUGUUCCCGCGAUCCACGGUGGUGGGCCUGCUGAGCCGGCCGCUGAAGCACGCAUCGGAGACGAUUGGAUGUUCCUACAAUGUUUUGAGUGAGAUUUUGUUGUCCUUUUUCUUUUGAUUUUUUAGAUCAGUAAGGAGAAGGACGAACAGAUCCAUCACUUGCACUCUGUUUGAGGUUUGUGAGGAGUAGGAGGAGCAAAUUCGUGGUGUGCCUCCGAGGUUCUUCGUGGAACUAUCGACGCUGCAUUGCUGCCAACAAUCGAGUCAUCAAUGUCUAUGCCGGGAGUGUAACUGCCUCGCCCUGGCUCUGCCUUUUCGCCUACUAUACGCAUGCAGCCAUGCCACAAGAUGUAUGUAUUGAUCAACAUAUGGUUGAAGCAUGAUAAUCCCGCCCCCCACAUGCACUACCUAUUGCCUUACUGUCAUGGCCGAUAGCUUCACCUGGAGAUGUUGCCGUCUCCACAUGCACAUUGCUAAACCUUGAUGAAGUGGUGAAUUGGUUAUGAACCAAAAUAUUUAAAUAAUUUUGAGUCGGGCCAUUUAUUUCUCCAUGAUUUGGUUUAUAAUUUUUCAUUUGUGCACAUAUUAUUGAAGGAUGGUCGUCUUCCUAGAGUAAUCAAGUUCUGUUGCAAUUCGUACCUAAAGUGAACAUGAAGAUUUCAAUUACCUACCGUGUCAUGUUGAUAUAUCCCCUCUCUUUUUACAUUCCGAGUUUACUAUAAUUUCUGUUUCAAGUGCACCUAAAUUUUGGCUAAGGGUGAUAAGCACAUCCCAAGUCAUAGCAGGUAAUUGUUUUUUAGCUAUUGUAAACCUGAAGUGUUAGCCCUCUAUUAGCUAACUGAAUUUAGAGUACAUACCAAGUUCCAUUGUUUACUAAUUCUAAUUUAUAAUUGUUGCUUCCUCGGGAAUAAAUAAGAUAAGUAUUUGAGUAGGCAGGUUAUGUACGUUUCAUAUCAAGCUCCCUUUGCAACUUUAUUAAGAGGUAAAUAUCUUAGCCCUCUAUUAAUGAUGUCUUUGGAUGUUUAAAUCAUGACAUGUGGCUGCUCAUGUCUUGCUCUCUUGAUGCCUAACUUUUUGGUGUCUUUAGCCUCUCAUAUCGUUUCUUAUUAUUAAAUAAUCAUAUCGAGUAUUGCUAGCACAAUACACUUCUAAAGCACAAGAAAACAUGUUUACAGUUUCUGUGAAAUAAGCAUUCAUUCUUUUUGCAGGAAGUAUGCAUAUUCAUUUGUUGUUGCAAAAAAAGUGAGCUAAAUGCCAAAUAGUAGUGCUCCAAUUUGUUUUCCAUACCCCCAAAAUAUGUGUUAUCAUUAUAAUUUAUUCUUGAACAAAGUACUACGUUUUUUUGCGAUUUGAAUUAGCGAGAAACAAUCUCAAUUUCAUAUGGUCAUAUUUAUUCUUUAUUUAGUAGGGUUAACUAUACAAACAUUUUACAUUUAGUUACAAGUGAAUUUAAGCGCCUUUGUCUUGAACUCAGUCAAAGUUAACAGUACACUUUAUGAACUUUAAUUGUUUCAAUGCUCUUUGAAGCCAACCUGACUACCAAGGACAGAAAUACAUGAUUAUGCCAUGUUAGUGUCGAGUCCAAGUCCAUACCAUGUAUGUAUGUAUCAUUCAACAUUCAAAAGGACAUAUCAACUUUGUUUCUUUCUAUUUCAUGUAUUAUAAUUUCUUUCUUUCAAGUUGCUUGCAAAAAGUAUAAUUUAGAAGUCCUGUAGCAACGCGCGGGGUUUCAUCUAGUUUCAUGAUGCUCACUGUCGUGCGUGAGUAAUCCCAUCGUAGGCUUGCUUGACGGUGAUGGGUUGGAUGAUAUUUAGCAUGUAAUCGAGUUAGUUUUGUUAGGGUUUGAUCCCUAGUAUCCACUAUGUUCUAAGAUUGAUGUUGAUAUGACUUUGCUAUGUUUAAUGCUUGUCACUAGGGCCCGAGUGCCAUGAUUUAAGAUCUGAACCUAUUAUGUU